CGCUGAGGAGCGAAAGCAUGGGGAGCGAACAGGAUUAGAUACCCUGGUAGUCCAUGCCGUAAACGUUGGGCACUAGGUGUGGGGACCAUUCCACGGUUUCCGCGCCGCAGCUAACGCAUUAAGUGCCCCGCCUGGGGAGUACGGCCGCAAGGCUAAAACUCAAAGGAAUUGACGGGGGCCCGCACAAGCGGCGGAGCAUGCGGAUUAAUUCGAUGCAACGCGAAGAACCUUACCAAGGCUUGACAUGUUCUCGAUCGCCGUAGAGAUACGGUUUCCCCUUUGGGGCGGGUUCACAGGUGGUGCAUGGUUGUCGUCAGCUCGUGUCGUGAGAUGUUGGGUUAAGUCCCGCAACGAGCGCAACCCUCGUUCCAUGUUGCCAGCACGUAAUGGUGGGGACUCAUGGGAGACUGCCGGGGUCAACUCGGAGGAAGGUGAGGACGACGUCAAAUCAUCAUGCCCCUUAUGUCUUGGGCUUCACGCAUGCUACAAUGGCCGGUACAAUGGGUUGCGAUACUGUGAGGUGGAGCUAAUCCCAAAAAGCCGGUCUCAGUUCGGAUUGGGGUCUGCAACUCGACCCCAUGAAGUCGGAGUCGCUAGUAAUCGCAGAUCAGCAACGCUGCGGUGAAUACGUUCCCGGGCCUGCACACACCGCCCUU
rnacentral:rRNA from 1 species